CGCUGGCGGCGUGCCUAAUGCAUGCAAGUAGAACGCUGAAGGGAGAGCUUGCUCUUCUGGAUGAGUUGCGAACGGGUGAGUAACCGCGUAGGUAACCUGCCUGGUAGCGGGGGAUAACUAUUGGAAACGAUAGCUAAUACCGCAUAACAUUGACUAUUGCAUGAUAGUCAAUUGAAAGGUGCAAAUGCACCACUACCAGAUGGACCUGCGUUGUAUUAGCUAGUUGGUGGGGUAACGGCUCACCAAGGCGACGAUACAUAGCCGACCUGAGAGGGUGAUCGGCCACACUGGGACUGAGACACGGCCCAGACUCCUACGGGAGGCAGCAGUAGGGAAUCUUCGGCAAUGGACGGAAGUCUGACCGAGCAACGCCGCGUGAGUGAAGAAGGUUUUCGGAUCGUAAAGCUCUGUUGUAAGAUGAAGAACAGAUGUGUGAGACGUGGAAA
rnacentral:rRNA from 1 species